rnacentral:rRNA from 1 species
CCUACGGGAGGCAGCAGUGGGGAAUAUUGGACAAUGGGCGAAAGCCUGAUCCAGCAAUGCCGCGUGAGUGAUGAAGGCCUUCGGGUCGUAAAGCUCUUUUACCAGGGAUGAUAAUGACAGUACCUGGAGAAUAAGCUCCGGCUAACUCCGUGCCAGCAGCCGCGGUAAUACGGAGGGAGCUAGCGUUGUUCGGAAUUACUGGGCGUAAAGAGUACGUAGGCGGUUAUUCAAGUCAGAGGUGAAAGCCCGGGGCUCAACCCCGGAACUGCCUUUGAAACUAGAUAACUAGAGUCUUGGAGAGGUUAGUGGAAUUCCGAGUGUAGAGGUGAAAUUCGUAGAUAUUCGGAAGAACACCAGUGGCGAAGGCGACUAACUGGACAAGUACUGACGCUGAGGUACGAAAGCGUGGGGAGCAAACAGGAUUAGAUACCCUGGUAGUCCACGCCGUAAACGAUGAUAACUAGUUGUUCGGUCACUUGGUGACUGAGUGACGCAGCUAACGCAUUAAGUAUCCGCCUGGGGNGGUACGUCGCGAGAUAACUACAAGAAGUAGAGCGNGAGACGNGCGACGACGACGACGAGGAGGUAGG